rnacentral:lncRNA from 1 species
UCCUUUGCUCAAAUUGAUCCUUGGUAAAUCUGGCCGAAGCGAUAGAUCUUACCGUGCUCAAUUUUUGACGACUUCUGGCCGAAGCGACAGAAGUAUCGGGAGAGUUUGUGAUACUCCCUCUCGAAAUUUGACGACUUCUGACCGAAGCGACAGAGGUGUCGGGAGAGCUUGUGAUACUCCCCCUCGAAAUUUGACGACUUCUGGCCGAAGCGACAGAGGUGUCGGGAGAGCUUGUGAUACUCCUCCUCGAAAUUUGACGACUUCUGGCCGAAGCGACAGAGGUGUCGGGAGAGUUUGUGAUACUCCCCCUCGAAAUUUGACGACUUCUGGUCGAAGCGACAGAAGUGUCGGGAGAGUUUAUGAUACUCCCCCUAGAAAUGUGACGACUUCAAUCUGUCCGAAACGACAGAAGUGUCGGGAGAGUUUGUGAUACUCCCCCUCGAAAUGUGACGACUUCAAUCUGUCCGAAGCGACAGAAGUGUCGGGAGAGUUUGUGAUACUCCCCCUCGAAAUGUGACGACUUCUGGCCG